rnacentral:rRNA from 1 species
GAGUUUGAUCUUGGCUCAGAGUGAACGCUGGCGGUAGGCCUAACACAUGCAAGUCGAACGGCAGCACAGUAAGAGCUUGCUCUUAUGGGUGGCGAGUGGCGGACGGGUGAGGAAUACAUCGGAAUCUACUUUUUCGUGGGGAUAACGUAGGGAAACUUACGCUAAUACCGCAUACGACCUACGGGUGAAAGCAGGGGAUCUUCGGACCUUGCGCGAUUGAAUGAGCCGAUGUCGGAUUAGCUAGUUGGCGGGGUAAAGGCCCACCAAGGCGACGAUCCGUAGCUGGUCUGAGAGGAUGAUCAGCCACACUGGAACUGAGACACGGUCCAGACUCCUACGGGAGGCAGCAGUGGGAAUAUUGGACAAUGGGCGCAAGCCUGAUCCAGCCAUACCGCGUGGGUGAAGAAGGCCUUCGGUUGU